rnacentral:rRNA from 1 species
GCACGGGAGGCAGCAGUGAGGAAUAUUGGUCAAUGGGCGGGAGCCUGAACCAGCCAAGCCGCGUGAGGGAAGAAGGUACAGCGUAUCGUAAACCUCUUUUGUCAGGGAACAAAGGCGGGGACUAGUCCCCGGAUGAGGGUACCUGAAGAAGAAGCAUCGGCUAACUCCGUGCCAGCAGCCGCGGUAAUACGGAGGAUGCGAGCGUUAUCCGGAUUUAUUGGGUUUAAAGGGUGCGCAGGCGGCCUGUUAAGCGCGGGGUGAAAGGCGGGGGCUCAACCCGGGCGAGCCGUUGGAACUGGCGGGCUGGAGUUGGAGAGAAGUAUGCGGAAUGCGCGGUGUAGCGGUGAAAUGCAUAGAUAUCGCGCAGAACUCCGAUUGCGAAGGCAGCAUGCCGGC